rnacentral:rRNA from 1 species
AGGGAAUCUUCGGCAAUGGACGGAAGUCUGACCGAGCAACGCCGCGUGAGUGAAGAAGGUUUUCGGAUCGUAAAGCUCUGUUGUAAGAGAAGAACGAGUGUGAGAGUGGAAAGUUCACACUGUGACGGUAUCUUACCAGAAAGGGACGGCUAACUACGUGCCAGCAGCCGCGGUAAUACGUAGGUCCCGAGCGUUGUCCGGAUUUAUUGGGCGUAAAGCGAGCGCAGGCGGUUAGAUAAGUCUGAAGUUAAAGGCUGUGGCUUAACCAUAGUACGCUUUGGAAACUGUUUAACUUGAGUGCAAGAGGGGAGAGUGGAAUUCCAUGUGUAGCGGUGAAAUGCGUAGAUAUAUGGAGGAACACCGGUGGCGAAAGCGGCUCUCUGGCUUGUAACUGACGCUGAGGCUCGAAAGCGUGGGGAGCAAACAGGAUUAGAUACCCUGGCAGUCCACGCCGUAAACGAUGAGUGCUAGGUGUUAGACCCUUUCCGGGGUUUAGUGCCAAAGCUAACGCAUUAAGCACUCCGCCUGGGGAGUACGACCGCAAGGUUG